UACGUAGGGUGCAAGCGUUGUCCGGAAUUAUUGGGCGUAAAGAGCUCGUAGGCGGUUCGUCGCGUCGGCUGUGAAAACCCGGAGCUCAACUCCGGGCCUGCAGUCGAUACGGGCGGACUUGAGUGUUGCAGGGGAGACUGGAAUUCCUGGUGUAGCGGUGAAAUGCGCAGAUAUCAGGAGGAACACCGGUGGCGAAGGCGGGUCUCUGGGCCGAUACUGACGCUGAGGAGCGAAAGCGUGGGGAGCAAACAGG
rnacentral:rRNA from 1 species